GACGAACGCUGGCGGCGUGCUUAACACAUGCAAGUCGAACGAAGAGCGACGGAAGCUUGCUUCUCUCAAUCUUAGUGGCGCACGGGUGAGUAACGCGUAAUCAACCUGCCCUUCAGAGGGGGACAACAGUUGGAAACGACUGCUAAUACCGCAUACGAUCUAAUCUCGGCAUCGAGGAUGGAUGAAAGGUGGCCUCUACAUGUAAGCUAUCACUGAAGGAGGGGAUUGCGUCUGAUUAGCUAGUUGGAGGGGUAACGGCCCACCAAGGCGAUGAUCAGUAGCCGGUCUGAGAGGAUGAACGGCCACAUUGGGACUGAGACACGGCCCAGACUCCUACGGGAGGCAGCAGUGGGGAAUCUUCCGCAAUGGACGAAAGUCUGACGGAGCAACGCCGCGUGAGUGAUGACGGCCUUCGGGUUGUAAAGCUCUGUUAAUCGGGACGAAAGGCCUUCUUGCGAAUAGUGAGAAGGAUUGACGGUACCGGAAUAGAAAGCCACGGCUAACUACGUG
rnacentral:rRNA from 1 species